CGCAUCUGUGCAUGCAGCAUAUCAAUAAGCGGAGGAAAAGAAACUAACAAGGAUUCCCCUAGUAACGGCGAGUGAAGUGGGAAGAGCUCAAAUUUGAAAUCUUAAAGGGUUUCCCUUUACGAAUUGUAGUUUAAAGAAGUGUUUUCUGUUGAGGUUUUGGUAAAAGUUCUUUGGAAUAGGACAUCAUAGAGGGUGAGAAUCCCGUAUUUGACCUUUACUUUCAACUUUGUGAUACACUUUCAAAGAGUCGGAUUGUUUGGGAAUGCAGUCCAAAAUGGGUGGUAAAUUUCAUCUAAAGCUAAAUAUUGGCGAGAGACCGAUAGCGAACAAGUACCGUGAGGGAAAGAUGAAAAGAACUUUGAAAAGAGAGUUAAACAGUACGUGAAAUUGUCAAAAGGGAAGCGUUUGACACCAGUGUCUGUUUUUCUGAAAAUCAAUUAAAGAACUGUUUAUGCUAAGCUGUUUAGACUUUAUCAGCUAAUCUGUUUAGUUUUGAGCUUUUCUUUAAUGCACUUUUCAGUUAACAAGUCAACAUCAAUUUCUUUUGCUGUAAAAAAGCUUGAGGAAGGUGGCUUGAGAUUCGUCUUAAGUGUUUAUAGCCUCUUGCCUAUGCAGUCGGAGAGAUUGAGGUCUGCAGCGUAGAUCCUUCGGGGCUAAAUGCAUUUGUGCUAAGUUAUAGCAUUUUAUAGACAACUUGUUGACUAUGAUUUGUCUUGUAGCUUACUCGCUUAUGUUAUUUUACCUACGCUUAGGAUGUUGAAUCUGUGCGAGACUAC
rnacentral:rRNA from 1 species